ACGCCGCGUGAGGGUGAAGGCCUCUGGGCUGUAAACCUCUUUUCUCAAGGAAGAAGAUCUGACGGUACUUGAGGAAUAAGCCACGGCUAACUCCGUGCCAGCAGCCGCGGUAAUACGGGAGUGGCAAGCGUUAUCCGGAAUUAUUGGGCGUAAAGCGUCCGCAGGCGGCCCUUCAAGUCUGCUGUUAAAAAGUGGAGCUUAACUCCAUCGUGGCAGUGGAAACUGUUGGGCUAGAGUGUGGUAGGGGCAGAGGGAAUUCCCGGUGUAGCGGUGAAAUGCGUAGAUAUCGGGAAGAACACCAGUGGCGAAGGCGCUCUGCUGGGCCAUAACUGACGCUCAUG
rnacentral:rRNA from 1 species